UCAGAAUCCAUUUUCCGGAGUGUGGGUUUGGAUGGUGUUUGUUAUGGUCUGGGUUUUGGGUUCAGAGUCUGGACAGCAUCAGUGUCUUUAUGCUAUAAACACUCUUGACGAUUUCCUGGAUAGUUAAGUGGUUCGCCCUGAUGAGCACUAUGUAAUUCAGUAUGAAUAUUUUGUUUUACAAUAUAAUAUAUCAAAUAACGAGGGUAAAACAUAAUUAUCAUAUUCUAUGAAGAUGUCAUACAGUAUGGAGAAAGUCCGAAAGAUUCUAGUUCAUCUGUCGAGAGAAAACACCGCUCCGCAGUGCGCACGAUUCGUGCAGAGCAUAACUGGACACUUUGUCGGGAGUGUUGAGGAUCAGGCAACUGUGAGCUGUUCUUUGGAGAAUAACAGAUUUAUUUUAUGUGACAGGCUGUGUGAUGGAGGAGUUCCUCUGAAGAGGGCAUCAUUUUGCCCCAUCAAAUACCUGUCUCACUCAGAGGCAGACACCCUGCCCCCAGACACCCUCAACCGUGGGGUAGACGUGGGCGUGGCUGUGCUGCUGCAGUCAGCCAAUCAGAGACUGUUGCUAACGCGUCGCGCCUCCAGCCUCCGGAUCUUCCCCAAUGUUUGGGUUCCGCCUGGUGGCCAUGUGGAGCUGGAUGAAAAGCUGUUGGAUGCAGGACUCAGAGAGCUGAAGGAAGAGACCGGUCUGAAACUGAGCCCUGAUGAGAUCUCCUCUCAGCUGCUCGGCCUGUGGGAGUCAGUGUAUCCGCCCAUGCUGUCCAUAGGACUGCCUAAGAGACAUCACAUUGUGACAUACAUACUUCUGAAGAGCUGUCAAUCACACCUGCAGCUACAGGCUUGUUUGCGCCCUGAUCCUGCUGAAGUCAGUGCGUGUGUGUGGGUCGAUGCAGGUCUGGUGGAAGUUGUAGUAUCUGCAGUAGACGGUGAGAAUGAUUCUGUUCAAAUACCAACUGACCUGCCACAGACCAUCAGUGUGACAGAGGUAUCUCCACACGGUGAGCUAAUCGAGACCUUGCUGCCUGUUUCUGUGCUCUGUAAUCGGGCCCCGGAUCAUGGCGAGGACAUUGAACGAGUCAGCACAGGAACCAAAUUUGCCUUAGAACUGUGGUUGAAAACACUGGAGCCUCAUUCUGAGAUGGGCUGAUGACUGCCUGCUUCUGUUUAUGUAGUUACCAUUUAACCAGUGCCUUGAGGAAGACAGCACCACCUGCUGGACUGGAGCUAUUUCAACAUUCAAAUCAAAAUUUGUGAUGCAGAUGGCCUUAGAAAAAGAGUUUUGAUUGGAAUAUGAUAUUAUAAUUAUCAACAUUAUCCAACAUUUUAUUAUUAAUACUUAUUUUCUCUGCAAAAGCUAGCAAAUUAAAAUUGAUUUAAUGCAGUAAAGUGAUUAACCUUUAUAAUUUUACCUUACGUUUUUCUUCCACACACAACUGCAAAUGCUUUGUUUUUAAAGGAAAACCUUUUUUUUUUUCUGUUCACAUGACCAGCAGAACAUUCACUUUGUUUCAGUAACCUCCCAAUGUUCAGACACUACCAUAUGCAGAAUAAAUGAAUCAUGACAAAUACUACACCUAUUAAUUGGAUAUUUCCUGAACAGUUUGUGUGUGAAUUCAGGGUCAGUUUACACAGCAGAGACGGAAAUAUGGGAAAAAUGAAAUUUCAUCACAGAUUAUAUUUGCGGAGAUAAUCUGCAGACUUUCACUUGCUUCACCCUUCCUCUGACACACAUUUAUGUUCUUGUACAAAUACUCCGUAUCUUGAUUUCUUAAUCAAGUUAAUUCCUGGCACAUUUUUAUCCUCUUUGCUUUUAAAAAGAAUUUGACCUGAAGUGAAACAGAGUCGUCUAGUUCUGUUCGGUUUAUUCCAUACUAACUUUGUCACCCAAUGCACAACCUACGCUAAAAGCUAAAACUCCUGCUUUUGAUCUGUGGUAGAGCUAGGCAGUUUCACCAAAAAUGUCAGGGUUUAUUCCCCAUUAAACAGUAUUUUCCUUAAGUUUAUUUUGUCCAAAAAAAAACCUAACAAAAAACCAAGUCACCCCUCUGCCAUUUUCAGAAAAUCUUUUUAAUUUUACUAAAUCACUGUUAAUACAUCACAUUACUGUCAUCAUUCAAUCCAUUUUUAAAAGUUACAAAUUACUUUGUACAAAGGUGUAUAGUAGGAAAAUAAAUUCUAAAUCAAUGUAAUGGCAUAUAAAAUCAUUUCCCUGUCCGCAGUACAGUGCCGGAUGUAUGACAGUUUUUCAUCCCACAAGGGUUUCCUCAGGCCUCGUUCUUCACACAUGGAAGGAGGGACAAUGUUGGGGGUCAGAAAACCUGAAUGAUUGAGUUAAAGUGUGAAUUUGAGCUCUGCUGGGUUAUUUACAGAAGUGUGUCAUGCUCGCCGCUGCAUUUGUGUUUUUUACUAUACCUGUGUCCUUCAUUGGUUCACCACGUACAUUCCUGCCCGGUUUUUCGGAGGUUUUUCUCUGACAUCCUGUGAAAAUAAGAGUCAAUUAACAGUAGAUGACAAUGAAGGGCAUGUACAUGCAACUAUAACAUUUUUCAAGAGUCAAAAGUCAUUAUGCUAAGUACUCUUUUUUUUUCUUUCUUUUUUUUUCUUUUUUUUUUAUUAACUUAAAAUGAUUACUAUUAUUUAUAAUUAUAUAUUUAGAGUUUUGGUUUCAUUUAUUUGAUCUUGUAUGUUUUGAUCAUUUUAUUUUAUUUAAAUGUUAGAUAUAUUUGAUAUUCCUUCGUAUAUUUACUUUACAUUUUGUUUAUUUUUUAUUUACUUAGUUUUUUUAUUAAUAUUGUGAUUUCUUUCUGUUAUUAGGCCUCUUUUUUAUUUACUUAAUUCUUUUGUUUAAAUAUUAUACACACUCACACACAAAUAUAUAUACAGUGUAUGGUGAAUUACACCUGUGUUUCUUCCAUUUUUAUUUAUUUAUUUUUGUGUGUGUGUGUGUGUGUGUGUGUGUGUGUGUGUGCGUACGUUCGUCUGGGCCCAUGUGAGUUGGGCUGUUUCGGGUGAUUUAGGUGAUUUUGUUUAUAUCAUAACUGAGAAUCAUCCAGCUUGUUAUUAAUAUAAAUGCCAGUGCCCUAACAAACGCCUCGGUUCAGCUCCGUUCAGUUAAUCACUCUCUGCUCUGAUCAGCUGUCCUGUCCACCAAAACCUGCUGCUCAGAUGCAUUCAGCCCUGGAGGCAUGAAUGAGGGUUGGAUUCAAAGCUUAAGUCUUUCUCUCCUGGCUCCCGUUAUUGUUCGAAUGUAGGCAGGGCAUUGUGAGCGGUGACGCCGGGGCUACUGGACGAUGGAGGAGACUCAGAUGGAGGCCUCACAGUCUCUGAACGAGAGUCGAGUUUCCCACGCUUCAGGUUUCUUAGUCAGAUCCGCACAAAGAGGGGCCUGUGCAGGCGACGGGGACGCUGGAACGCCAGGUGUGACACUCAAAUUGUCCCGUUCAUCCAGCAUGCAAGAGCUGAUCCAUGUCUGUACCAGCAGGGAUGUCUGGAUUGAAGUACAUGGGAGGAUUCAUCUCUUCAACUUCGUUCACGAAAAUUCUUCGUUUCGGACAACAGCACCAGAUCACCACCUGAGAGGAGGAACACCGUUGUCCUUUAACAGCAUACGCUCGCUUUGCUGGAGCUCCACUCAAAAUUCACAAGAUUUCUAACCCCUGGAGAAGCCCCACAGGUUCACUUCCAGCUCUCAGGACCAAAGAUGAAGGCAGCUGCUCCCAAC